rnacentral:rRNA from 1 species
GACGAACGCUGGCGGCGUGCCUAACACAUGCAAGUCGAGCGAUGAAACCCUUCGGGGUGGAUUAGCGGCGGACGGGUGAGUAACACGUGGGUAACCUGCCUCAAAGAGGGGGAUAGCCUCCCGAAAGGGAGAUUAAUACCGCAUAAUAUUAGUUUUUCGCAUGGAGAACUAAUUAAAGGAGUAAUCCGCUUUGAGAUGGACCCGCGGCGCAUUAGCUAGUUGGUGAGGUAAAGGCUCACCAAGGCGACGAUGCGUAGCCGACCUGAGAGGGUGAUCGGCCACAUUGGAACUGAGAUACGGUCCAGACUCCGACGGGAGGCAGCAGUGGGGAAUAUUGCACAAUGGGCGAAAGCCUGAUGCAGCAACGCCGCGUGAGUGAUGAAGGCCUUCGGGUUGUAAAGCUCUGUCUUUGGGGACGAUAAUGACGGUACCCAAGGAGGAAGCCACGGCUAACUACGUGCCAGCCGCCGCGGUAAUAC